rnacentral:rRNA from 1 species
GCUCAGUAACACGUGGAUAACCUACCCUGAGGAGGGGGAUAACCCCGGGAAACUGGGGAUAAUACCUCAUAGGUUUCAGAUGCUGGAAUGCUCUGAAACCGAAAUGCUCCGGCGCCUCAGGAUGGAUCUGCGGCCGAUUAGGUUGUUGUUGGGGUAACGGCCCAACAAGCCCGUCAUCGGUACGGGUUGUGAGAGCAAGAGCCCGGAGAUGGAUUCUGAGACACCAAUCCAGGCCCUACGGGGCGCAGCAGGCGCGAAACCUUUACAAUGCGAGCAAUCGUGAUAAGGGAACCCCGAGUGCCUGAAACCAGGCUGUUCAGGUGUUUAAAAAGCACCUGGAGAAAGGGCCGGGCAAGACCGGUGCCAGCCGCCGCGGUAAUACCGGCGGCUCGAGUGGUGGCCGCUAUUAUUGGGCUUAAAGCGUUCGUAGCUGGGUUGUUAAGUCUCUUGGGAAAUCUCACGGCUCAACCGUGAGGCGACUAAGAGAUACUGGCAAUCUUGGGACCGGGAGAGGUGAGAGGUACUCCAGGGGUAGGAGUGAAAUCCUGUAAUCCUUGGGGGACCACCGGUGGCGAAGGCGUCUCACCAGAACGGCUCCGACAGUGAGGGACGAAAGCUGGGGGAGCAAACCGGAUUAGAUACCCGGGUAGUCCCAGCCGUAAACGAUGCACGUUAGGUGUUUCGGUGACCACGAGUCACCGAUGUGCCGAAGGGAAACCGUAAAACGUGCCGCCUGGGAAGUACGGUCGCAAGGCUGAAACUUAAAGGAAUUGGCGGGGGAGCAC